rnacentral:lncRNA from 1 species
UGAAGAGAAGUGUCAUACUCCCAGAUCAAGAUGUGCAAGUGUGAUAUAUGGUGGACUAGGUUGCUCCUUUAUUUGAUAGACUCUCUAUGUAUUGAGACAUGGCUAGCAUUUUUUUCUUCUUUUUUUUUAUAUAUGAGCUUUCAUGUGCUCAAUUUUCUUUUUCUGUGGACUUGCACAUGUCCAUCUUUUUAUUUCAUUUUGCCUAGCCCUUUUGAUGUCUCAUUUACCAAAUAAUGCUUAGAGAGAUGUUCUAACAUUUAGAGUAUGGAGCAACCUAUUUAGUGGAUGCGAAAUACAUGUGGUUGCGUACUUCCAGUGUAGAAGCAGCAUAUAUAUAUGUGGUGUGUACGUGAUCUUGAUCUUAGGAGCAUGAAAAGUCUCUUAACAAGGGUCAACAAGACUUGACGACAUUCAACACAAAGCAAAUAGCUUAUGUGGAAAGGUUGCAAUUAUGUAAAGUAGAUAUGGCUGUGGUAGGAAUUCAUCACCAUUGAGGAACAAUUAAGGUUUUGAUCAUUUUAAGAAUAAAUCUCUGAUAAUCAUGCAUGCUUAGAAAAAUAUUAUAGUAGCUCUUGUCUUACUAUCUCAUGUCCCACAACAACUUAGACUUAGUUCUAGCACUUGCAACCCACAAAGUUUUUAGGUUCAUGGCAGUUUAAGUGAGCUAAGUGAUCCAUACUUAGAGAAAUACUAAGUUGUAUACUAGGCACUAGAGAAACAUUAACAAGCAACUAGUCAUAAUUUCCAUGAGGGAUAUAAACAUACAUGAAGCAUAUAUGCUAAAGGGAAAUGCUAAUAAAUAUUUAUAUUUUUUUUUAAGUAAGAAUGAUAAAAUGCAUGAAAAUAAAUAGGAUAGAAUACUUACCUUAGUGGGGGAGAGGAUCUCCCCCAAGCUAGAUCUUCGCUCACUGUGGUGGCGGGAAAUUUUGGUACCAUCCAGCCCAGCGUUGUGCGUCUUCCUCUCGCACACGUCGGAUAUGUUGGCCGUUUUGUAACGCCAGUUGCAAUGUUGCUUCUUGCCCAAUCUGCAAUUCGCCCAUGUCAUUAAUGAGACUGUCCAUACCUGUGGGCUG